rnacentral:siRNA from 1 species
UUCGUUGUCUGUUCGACCU